UAUGCGUAAGACCUGCGAAGCCGCCUUAAAGUCCGAUUCGUUUCCGAGCAAAGAUCAUAAUUUCUUUUGAAUUGAUGAAGGUGAUAGGUUGGUAUUAGGUCACAUAGACAACUUCAUCAAGGUCUUUAGAGUGUGGGAGGCUUUCACUAUUGUCGAUAUUUGCGGGAAGAAUAACACACGGAGUCCAGAUUUGUAAUGUCUGUAUUUUCUAAUUUCUUAACUAUUUAUACAAUUUAUUUGCUACGUGCUUGUUGGCUAAAAUAUGUACACCAAUUAAAAACUAAGUUUAUUGACCAAUCCGGAAGAGAUUGAUUAAUAGUUAAUUAUAAUGAGAGUGAGUGAGAGGUGAUUUUCUCUGUCACACAUUCUUGCGCGUUCCGCACAGAGAUAGCGAUAUGCUGUUUAUGACCUCCUAUAGGAGCUUUAUUUAACAGUUCGUUCUGUUCUAGAAACGCGUUUAAUAAGGCAGCAUAACUACGUUCAAUUUGGUUCAAGAUUAGUGUUUAUGAUUAAAAAGAAGAUAUAUGUAAAAAAUAAUAUUUCUUUUAUUUUAGAAUUGUGUCAAAACACUGUUUCUAAACGAAUGUCAUUGCCUAUCGGUGAUUGGUUGAUUCUAGAAGCCAUCUUAAGGCCAAAAAUGGCGUCAUAAUUAUAGUGAGUAAAAUGUGAGGAAAAGGAUGAUAAUAUAGUAACAUAAAUGUCGUUUCUUUUUGCAGGAGAUUAACGCUGGUUUCCCAGAAUGUCUCCAGAUGGACUUAAAGAGCUCACUAAAAAAAGGUAUUAAGUUAAUUAAAAAAAAAAAAAUCUUUUUGCCGAGCAACACAUUUAUUUGAAAACUAGUAAUCCGCAAUAGAAAUCUUUUUAAAACGACUUUUUCUUAUAAGAUCUAUCACAACAGCAUUAAACAUGGAGAAACUCCGUUUUGAAUUUACCUUUUUGCCAUCAAGCGACAAAAAAUCAAACACCAUGUGUAUAACCUCAAUUGGUACAAGUGAUGAAAAAGUUUACGUUGUCCCAGAAGAGGCACAAUAUGUUGGUUGCCGAACUGAACUUAUUAAAACCCCUGCCUUUACGAAGAUAAAACAUAGUCUGAAGAAAAGACACCAGACACGAAAAAUAUGGAUCACAAUGACUAAGGUACUUAGUUGUUAAGGUAUUCAUAAGUCAUCUUAAAUGUACUUAUCUUACAUAAGAUAUUAUUAUCUAGACAACUGGAUUUAAGAAAUAUAAUAUUGUGUCAUAAAUAGGUGACGUAUUUACUCUUUGUAUUCAGUAAAAAGUAUUAAACUUAUUGUAAAUAUUUUA